rnacentral:rRNA from 1 species
GACGAACGCUGGCGGCGUGCUUAACACAUGCAAGUCGAACGGAAAGGCCCUGCUUUUGUGGGGUGCUCGAGUGGCGAACGGGUGAGUAACACGUGAGUAACCUGCCCUUGACUUUGGGAUAACUUCAGGAAACUGGGGCUAAUACCGGAUAGGAGCUCCUGCUGCAUGGUGGGGGUUGGAAAGUUUCGGCGGUUUGGGAUGGACUCGCGGCUUAUCAGCUUGUUGGUGGGGUAGUGGCUUACCAAGGCUUUGACGGGUAGCCGGCCUGAGAGGGUGACCGGAAACAUUGGGACUGAGAUACGGCCCAGACUCCUACGGGAGGCAGCAGUGGGGAAUAUUGCACAAUGGGCGGAAGCCUGAUGCAGCAACGCCGCGUGCGGGAUGACGGCCUUCGGGUUGUAAACCGCUUUCGCCUGUGACGAAGCGUGAGUGACGGUAAUGGGUAAAGAAGCACCGGCUAACUACGUG